rnacentral:rRNA from 1 species
ACGAACGCUGGCGGCAUGCCUAACACCUGCAAGUCGCACGGGUACCUUCGGGUGCUAGUGGCGCACGGGUGCGUAACGCGUGGGAAUCUGCCCUUGGGUUCGGAAUAACUCAGCGAAAGCUGUGCUAAUACCGGAUGAUGUCGAAAGACCAAAGAUUUAUCGCCCGAGGAUGAGCCCGCGUUGGAUUAGCUAGUUGGUGGGGUAAAGGCCUACCAAGGCGACGAUCCAUAGCUGGUCUGAGAGGAUGAUCAGCCACACUGGGACUGAGACACGGCCCAGACUCCUACGGGAGGCAGCAGUGGGGAAUAUUGGACAAUGGGCGAAAGCCUGAUCCAGCAAUGCCGCGUGAGUGAUGAAGGCCUUAGGGUUGUAAAGCUCUUUUACCCGGGAUGAUAAUGACAGUACCGGGAGAAUAAGCUCCGGCUAACUCCGUG